AGUGAACCGCACUCCAUCCCAGCGAAUUACAUAUUCAUCAAUUGCUUACAUUUACUAUGUUAUUAACAUGUUUAUACAACUGAUUUUGCCCAAAUGCAUUGAGGGAGAGUGUCUGUUUGGACAAUAACUGAAAUAGCCAAGUUACUAGAUAGGUUACUGCUUGAAGUAAUGCACACCUAUCAAGAGAACCCCAAUUGACCGUGACGUUUAAUGUGUCUUAUAUUUUGAAUUAGAUGAUCUUUUAUUUGGGCUACCGUGUUAGGGUACUUUUGAUUGCGUUAAGUAGCAUAUCUUGGGUGUCACUGAAGCUUUGGUAUGUUGCUAAGCAUUAGAAACGCACGGUUCCACCUACCAUCCCAUGCGUCGGAUAUUAGGGGAGAUCUACCAUCACUACCACGGCCGCCGCUACUUGAAAAGCACCAACUUCUUCCACAUUAUCGGGCGCACCGCUGCAUCUUUUCGAGACGGAUUAACUUCCCAACUCCCAGGCGACCAGCACGCAGACGAACCUUGACUAAAUGGCCCGGAUUGGCUGCGGUGACCACGCAGAUGAUUUGGAUGGUAUCCAGUGAUACCAGUGGGAAUGGAGCUACCAUUCCAUCCCUUCUUCUAAGCACAUACUACAUUGGCUGAAGGCCCAGUUCUAGAAGGGUAGGAAACAUUCAAAAAUAGCUUACUGUUUACAAAGACAAAACACCUCAUCCUUACAUGUAUGGAGUGGCGUCAGACCGGGGGGGGAAGGGGGUUACUAAGAAUAUAGAGCCCUAACAUGUAGAGGGGCCCUCGAAAAUGGUUGAAUCUUGAAUAAAGAAGGGAGGGGCCCUCAGAGACCGCCUAUGUACAGGGCCCAGAAUUUUGUGCUACAUCCCUUCAUGAAUGUGAUGCAUACACUAAGUGUCCCUUAGAGCCCAGUAAAGUGCUCUGGAAAUCAAUAACAUCCCAAAAAGGUUCUAUUAAUAAGAAAAUGUGUCCAUGUCAAGAAAAGUUCUAUAAUUUAUACUUAGUUGUGUAUAGGCCUACAAUAUAAAACAUGUGACAUAUAUGCUGUAUCAAGGGGCAUUUCUGUAAAACAGGAAUCAUGAGCACAAACACGUAGAGAUCAUAGUACAGGCAAAUACAGGCAAGUUAGAGUAUUGCAACGAGGAAAGGCCAGUCUUGUGAAUUGUACGUCAUAAAAUUGGGAGGGGAAACACAAAUUGUAAAGAACAAAAAUGUUUUAGAGAAAAUGUGUCGAUACAGCAUGAAUAUAUAAAACACAGCUGUUGGGAAACAUACCACCCUAGAUAACUUUUUUUUAUUCUCCAUUUUACAGGGAUAGCUCACCAACAUUAAUUAACAAAAAAGUCUCAGUGGUUCUAAUGUUUUAAUGUUAAAAUCAAAUUUUGCCAGAUUGUUUCAAUUAUCUGUUAAAAUGAACAUAUUGUUCUUCCUUGGGUUAAUCCCCC
rnacentral:lncRNA from 1 species